rnacentral:rRNA from 1 species
GGGGAAUUUUCCGCAAUGGGCGAAAGCCUGACGGAGCAAGACCGCGUGAGGGAGGAAGGCUCUUGGGUUGUAAACCUCUUUUCUCAGGGAAGAACACAAUGACGGUACCUGAGGAAUCAGCCUCGGCUAACUCCGUGCCAGCAGCCGCGGUAAUACGGAGGAGGCAAGCGUUAUCCGGAAUUAUUGGGCGUAAAGCGUCCGCAGGUGGCACUUCAAGUCUGUCGUCAAAGACUGGGGCUUAACCCUGGAAAGGCGGUGGAAACUGAAGCGCUAGAGUGCGGUAGGGGUAGAGGGAAUUCCCGGUGUAGCGGUGAAAUGCGUAGAGAUCGGGAAGAACAUCGGUGGCGAAAGCGCUCUACUGGACCGCAACUGACACUCAGGGACGAAAGCUAGGGGAGCGAAUGGGAUUAGAUACCCCUG